rnacentral:rRNA from 1 species
GAUGAACGCUGGCGGCGUGCCUAAUACAUGCAAGUCGAGCGAAUGGAUUAAGAGCUUGCUCUUAUGAAGUAGCGGCGGACGGGUGAGUAACACGUGGGUAACCUGCCCAUAAGACUGGGAUAACUCCGGGAAACCGGGGCUAAUACCGGAUAACAUUUUGCACCGCAUGGUUCGAAAUUGAAAGGCGGCUUCGGCUGUCACUUAUGGAUGGACCCGCGUCGCAUUAGCUAGUUGGUGAGGUAACGGCUCACCAAGGCAACGAUGCGUAGCCGACCUGAGAGGGUGAUCGGCCACACUGGGACUGAGACACGGCCCAGACUCCUACGGGAGGCAGCAGUAGGGAAUCUUCCGCAAUGGACGAAAGUCUGACGGAGCAACGCCGCGUGAGUGAUGAAGGCUUUCGGGUCGUAAAACUCUGUUGUUAGGGAAGAACAAGUGCUAGUUGAAUAAGCUGACACCUUGACGGUACCUAACCAGAAAGCCACGGCUAACUACGUGCCAGCCGCCGCAGUAA